rnacentral:misc_RNA from 14 species
AAAAACGAUUGAUUGGGUUCUCUCGGGAUGAAAUGUUCAAAGUAGUAUCUGAUGUCUCCGAAUACCAUCACUUCGUGCCAUGGUGUAGAUCGUCGACAGUAGAACAUGAACAUGAGAGCUCACAGAUAGCAACACUCGAAAUCGGAUUCCCACCAUUUAUGGAAAAAUACACAAGCCGUGUUAUUUACAUCAAACCAUCAGUUGUUCAUUCAGUUGUCAUCGAAAACGACAAUCUCUUCAAGACUCUCGAUACCACAUUUAGAUUUGGAAAAGGAAAUCCAUCUGUGGAACGCUCUUGUACUCUACACUACGAUCUCGUUUUCGAAUUUGAAUCAGCGUUCCAUUCUCGAAUCGCACACCUUUUCUUCGACAAAGUCGUUAAAACAAUGGUGUCAGCGUUUUUACAUCGCGCUGAGAAAUUGUACGGAGCCCCUGAAUUUCCACACACACCUCCACAAGUAUUACAAUAUAAAUCAUGA